UACGGAGGGUGCAAGCGUUAAUCGGAAUUACUGGGCGUAAAGGGCGCGUAGGCGGCCGAUCAAGUCAGGCGUGAAAUUCCCGGGCUCAACCUGGGGGCUGCGCUUGAUACUGAUUGGCUUGAAUGCGGGAGAGGAUAGUGGAAUUCCCAGUGUAGAGGUGAAAUUCGUAGAUAUUGGGAAGAACACCGGUGGCGAAGGCGGCUAUCUGGCCCGUAAUUGACGCUGAGGCGCGAAAGCGUGGGGAGCAAACAGG
rnacentral:rRNA from 1 species